CACGUAGGGUGCGAGCGUUGUCCGGAAUUAUUGGGCGUAAAGAGCUCGUAGGCGGUGUGUCGCGUCGGCCGUGAAAACCUGCAGCUUAACUGUGGGCUUGCGGUCGAUACGGGCAUCACUGGAGUUCGGCAGGGGAGACUGGAAUUCCUGGUGUAGCGGUGGAAUGCGCAGAUAUCAGGAGGAACACCGGUGGCGAAGGCGGCUACCUGGACCGGUUCUGACGCUGAUGCGCGAAAGCGUGGGUAGCAAACGAGG
rnacentral:rRNA from 1 species